CACUGAUUAAUCAAUAGAAAAAGAGAGAAAGUAAGAAAGGAAUAAGAAUGAAGGGCCUCAAGCCAAUAAGGCCUAGACCUCAGUCCUAAGAGAUAAAUCAGUCAGUUGGUUUUAUCACUCACCCAAGAUCUCUCUAGGUAAGUCUUCUCAUGCCAAUCUCAGGCUCCACCUACAAGAGAGCCUCCUUUCAAGAAAUGUUUCCAGAGAAUUCUCCUCCUGACUCCUCCUGAGUUCUCCUUCCACAGCCUCCUUCAAGACCUCUCCAGGAGCUCUCCCUCCAGGACCUCUCUCCUCUCAGACCUCCUUCAGAGCAUUCCUUCUCUCUCCUCUCCGACCUCCUUCAGAGCACAAAACUCCCUCUAGUCCUCAGACCGGCUAUCUUUAAGCAAACAAUCUAAGUUCCCUCCCCUCAGUUCUCACAUCUACCAAUCACUGUGGAUGUCUCCCCUGUGCCAAUGGUGGCUCUAGCUUAACCCAGGACCGCCCAGAGGUCUCUCCCCUUUGCACAUGUCUGUUGAAGGUCAUAUUCUCAAAUAAUUAAAUCUUGAUCUUUGCUGCAGCCCUUCCUAAAUCCUGUUACUCUGAGUAGGGUGGAGAUUGUAGUUUCCAAGACCUGGUUCUGUCAUUCCAAGUAUCUCUAUUGUAUCAAUUCUAAAAUCAAUCAUGACUCAAAGAAAUUCCUGUUCUAUGCUUAAGCAUAGGUCAAAGCCCUUUCCAUUGUUUAGCAAAAGGUUUCUGUCCUAAAGUAGUCUUAAGUAGGGAGGAGAAGGAUCCUCCCAUGCCAAGGAGUUUCACAUUCCAAUAGAGUUCUUACUAUCAGUAGGAAAUUUUUUCAAGUAUGAAAUUUCCCAAUGGGGAAAUUUCCAACAUUCAUAAGUCUAAGAAAUUUUAAGGUUUACAGGAGCCAAUACUUGGUAUUGAUUCUAAGUAAGGUUUGUGGUGCUCCUUGGAGAGCCGGGGAAUGUCCCAUAAGUACAGUCAUUCAACAGACAUCUUUGAUUGCCUCCCAUGUGUCAGCAACCGUGCCAAGCCCGAUCAGAUGGGGUCACAAGAUUGGGUGGUUUGGCUUAAAUGCGUUUCUUUCCGGAGCAGGUUCUGCUGCUGUUUCCUUUUUCUGGGAACCCGAAGGGCCACUGGAAUUCUCAGAGGGGAAAGAGAUCGCUGAGACAUCCGAGGCCCACUACGGACCCUGUUCGGAGGAAGGCAGUUUUCCCCUCCGGACUUGACUGGGACUCUAAUCGUGACAGAGGUGUCUGGACUCUUUAUGAAGCACCCCACUUGAUACUGGAGGCCUCAGCAAGAUCUCGAACCCAGAACCAAGAGGUAAGGACAUGUGUGAGAUUUAAAAUGGUUGAGGUCUUAAACUAUAGUGGUUAAAAUAGUGGAAGAUAUAAAUUGUGAUAGAUAUAAGAGAGGGUGAGUAAAUUUGACCGCAGAAAUAUGUUUCACUACAGUGUCUUGGGUUUUUAAAUCAAAUAUAAGGUGGUCGCCAUUUAUUCAAAUACCCAAGUCAACUGGGUUUUAUAGAGAUUUUAAUUAACAAUACAAUGAGUAAUCAAAGAAAGAGAGAGAGAGUAAGAAAGGAAUAAGUAUGAAGGGCCUCAAGCCAAUAUGGCCUAGACCUGAGUCUUAAAAGAGAAAUCAGUCAGUUUUUUAUAACUCACCAUAAGAUCUGUCUAAGUAAGGAUUUCUAAUGACACCAGGCCAGCAGCAUCUCAGCUGCUUUCACCAGCUCCCUCCUCCAUCUGAAUGUUUCAGAAUCAGUCUCCUCAGAAUGAGUCUCUCCAAUCUGAAUGUUUCAGAAUGACUUCCCAGCUCUUCCCUGAGCUCUUAUUUUUAAGGGCAAAAUCUUCUCUGUCACCUCCCGUAAGUCCUUGCAUCUACCAAUCACUGUAGAUGUUUCUAAAGGACCGCCCAUUUUUAGUCCACACCUAAGAAGGUGUGGAUUUUUGAGUAAUUCACACCAGGAAAGCUCAGAGUAAGUUUUCCAGUUCUUUGUUCCUUGUAAAUUCACAAGUUGCUUGACCUUUAUAGGUACUUAGCUUAAGAAAAGUAUGGGUUUAAGUCCUUUUCAUUGUUCAGAAAAGAGUUUACAACUUUAUCUUCCCCUAGGGCAGACCCA
ensembl:lncRNA